rnacentral:rRNA from 1 species
UGGGGAAUUUUGCACAAUGGAGGAAACUCUGGUGCAGCGACGCCGCGUGAGUGAUGAAGAUCUUCGGAUUGUAAAACUCUGUCCUUAGUGAAGAUAAUGACAGUAACUAAGAAGCAAGCCCUGGCUAAAUACGUGCCAGCAGCCGCGGUAAUACGUAUGGGGCAAGCGUUGUCCGGAAUUAUUGGGCGUAAAGGGUACGUAGGCGGUUUAAUAAGUCCUAAUUAAAAGGCUAUGGCUCAACCAUAGUAUGGUUAGGAAACUGUUGAACUUGAGUAGAUGAGGGGAAAGUGGAAUUCCAUGUGUAGCGGUGAAAUGCGUAGAUAUAUGGAGGAACACCAAUGGCGAAGGCAACUUUCUGGAAUCAAACUGACGCUGAGGUACGAAGGCGUGGGGAGCAAACAGG